rnacentral:lncRNA from 1 species
AAGUUGAAAAUUAAAACUAACCACAAGACUCUCAUAUGAGAGAGAACUAACUCCUGCAAGUUGUGCUCUGACUUCCACACACACAAAUACAUUUCAUUUAAAUUAAAAAAAAAUACUGCUGGGCAAUGAUGGCGCACACCUUUAAUUCCAGCAUUUGGGAGGCAGAGACAGGAGGAUCUCUGAGUUGAAGACCAAUCUGGUCUACAAGAGAGAGUUCCAGGACAGCCAAGGCUUCACAGAAAGACCCUGUCUCGGAAAAUCAAAAACAACAGCAAAAAGAUUUAUUUAUUUUAUGUUUUGAUACAGUAUGUGUAUGCUGGUGCCCAUGGAGGUCAGAAGAGGGUAUCAGAUCACCUGGACUUGGAGUUACAGAUAAUUGUGAGCUACCAUGUACGUAGGCUCUGGGUCCUCUGUGAGAGCAGCAGAUACUCUAGACUGCUGAGUCGUUACUCCAGUUCUUUAGAUAAAUAAAUAAGUAAUAUAUUAUUAUAUAUAUACAUAUUUUGAGACUGAGUUUCUCUGGAGCUGCCUCUAUAGACCAGAGUAGCCUCAAACUCACAGAGAUCCAUCUACCUCUGUCCCCUGAGUGCUGGGAUUAAAGGCAUACAUAUACCACACUGUCCAACACUAAGCUGGUUUUGGUUUAUUUUUUAAAGAUUUAUUUACUUAUUUUAUGAGUACAUAGUUGCUGUCUUCAGACACACCAGAAGAGGGCAUCAGAUCCCAUUACAGAUGGUUGUGAGCCACCAUGUGGUUGCUGGGAAUUGAACUCAGGACCUCUGGAAGAACAGUCAGUGCUCUUAACUGCUGAGCCAUCUCCAGUCCUAAGCCAGUUUUUAAGAGUAAGUUUUUUAAAAUAAAAAUAUCUGGGCAUGAUGGUGCAUCCCUUCGGUGUCAGCACUCAGGAAACAAAAGCAGGCAGAGCUCUGUGAGUUCUAAGCCAGCCAUGGUGACACAGUGAAGACCCUGCCUCUGAGUAAAUAAACACUUAAACAAAUUAUUGUCUCCCACAUUUUUAGUUUUGUGGUGUGGGCAUGUGUGUGCUGUAGGACAUAUAUGGAGGCCAUAGACCGACUUGCAAGAUUCUGUUUUCUUGUACUGUGCGGCUCUAGGGAUGGAAGUCCGGCUUGCUGGGCUUGGGGGAAGCAUGUUUGCCCCGGCCGUGCCCGUUAGCCUGCACUUGGGAGCUGGUACACUGGAAGCUGCACACUGCUGGGAACCUAAAGUCACGCAAGCUUGCCAAGAGCAAGGGCUUGCAGUGCUCCCUUCACUUGCAAGGCUUGCAGCCGACAUCACCAUCUAUAAAGUCUGUGUUUAAGACGUGUGCAAUUCAGAGACAGGAGAGGUGGCUUGGAAAUUAAGAGUGCUUACUGCUCUUCCAGAGGACCCCAGUUCAUUUACCAUCACCCACAUAUGGGGCUCACACUGUCUGUAACUCUAGCCCUAGAGAAUCUGAUCCCUUCUAGUGUCUUUGAGUAUUUGUACACACUCACAAAUUCAUACACGUG